UCGCGCGGCUGGAGAAUCAGAUCGCGCCCGCGAGGCGGAAAUGCACGGCAGCGGGUUCCGGCUACCGCGUCGGCGGCACAGGCGGCGGAAUGGAGGAGGUGCCUCACGACUGUCCAGGGGCCGACAGCGCCCAGGCGGGCCGAGGGGCCUCAUGUCAGGGAUGCCCCAACCAGCGACUGUGUGCUUCUGGAGCGGGUGCCACUCCGGACCCGGCCAUAGAGGAAAUCAAAGAGAAAAUGAAGACGGUGAAACACAAGAUCUUGGUGUUGUCUGGGAAAGGUGGUGUUGGGAAAAGCACAUUCAGUGCCCACCUGGCCCACGGCCUCGCAGAGGAUGAAAGCACACAGGUUGCUCUCCUGGACAUCGACAUAUGUGGGCCGUCAAUUCCCAAGAUAAUGGGAUUGGAGGGCGAACAGGUUCACCAGAGCGGCUCCGGCUGGUCCCCAGUGGUGAGUUGUCACCUCUCUGCCGUGUUUCGAGUACGUGGACGAAAACCUGGGCGUGAUGUCCGUAGGCUUCCUGCUCGGCAGCCCCGACGACGCUGUUAUCUGGAGGGGACCGAAGAAAAAUGGCAUGAUCAAGCAGUUCCUCCGCGACGUGGACUGGGGAGAGGUCGACUACCUCAUCGUGGACACCCCGCCCGGGACGUCGGACGAGCACCUCUCGGUCGUCCAGUACCUGACCGCGGCUCGCAUCGACGGCGCCGUGCUCCUCACCACGCCUCAGGAGGUAUCGCUGCAGGAUGUGCGGAAAGAAAUCAACUUCUGCCGCAAGGUGAAGCUGCCCAUCAUCGGGGUGGUGGAGAACAUGAGCGGCUUCAUCUGUCCCAACUGCAAGAAAGAAUCUCAGAUAUUCCCUCCCACGACCGGCGGCGCGGCGGCCAUGUGCCAGGACCUGAAGUUGCCUCUCCUGGGCAGAGUGCCCCUGGACCCUCACAUAGGGAAGAGCUGUGACAAAGGCCAGUCCUUUCUGGUUGAAGCCCCAGACUCACCAGCCACCCUCGCCUACAGGAGCAUAAUUCAGAGAAUCCAAGAGUUUUGUAACCUCCAUCAGUCAAAAGAAGAGAACCUCAUCAGUUCCUGAGACAAGAGGCUGCUGGGAGCCCCAGCAGUUCCUGAGCUGGCAGGUGGCAGCGUGCAGGCAGGCCUGGCCACCUCGGGGACAGGUAGGGGACGCAGGCAGCAAGGCCCCAGACGCUGGUGUGGUUUGAAGUCACUUUCUCAGAGACACUUUAAUCAUCUAAUGUUUGUACACUUUUCCUUAGAACAUAUGUAAAGGGCAUUUUUUUUCAAACGUGCCAUUUUAAAAAUAAAAACGCCUCCUCGAACCUUU